rnacentral:rRNA from 1 species
UCUAAUACCGGAUAUGACCCCCCAUCGCAUGGUGGUUGGUGGAAAGCUUUUGUGGUUUUGGAUGGACUCGCGGCCUAUCAGCUUGUUGGUGAGGUAAUGGCUCACCAAGGCGACGACGGGUAGCCGGCCUGAGAGGGUGACCGGCCACACUGGGACUGAGACACGGCCCAGACUCCUACGGGAGGCAGCAGUGGGGAAUAUUGCACAAUGGGCGCAAGCCUGAUGCAGCGACGCCGCGUGAGGGAUGACGGCCUUCGGGUUGUAAACCUCUUUCAGUAG